GAAUAGUAUGAAAGUAAUUAGAAUAUGUAGUGUAGCGGUGAAAUGCUUAGAUAUUACAUGGAAUACCAAUUGCGAAGGCAGAUUACUACGUACUUAUUGACGCUGAUGAACGAAAGCGUGGGUAGCGAACAGGAUUAGAUACCCUGGUAGUCCACGCCGUAAACGAUGGAUACUAGCUGUUCGGUUUUCGGACUGAGUGGCUAAGCGAAAGUGAUAAGUAUCCCACCUGGGGAGUACGUUCGCAAGAAUGAAACUCAAAGGAAUUGACGGGGGCCCGCACAAGCGGUGGAGCAUGUGGUUUAAUUCGAUGAUACGCGAGGAACCUUACCAAGGCUUAAAUGUAGAUUGACAGGUUUAGAGAUAGACUUUUCUUCGGACAAUUUACAAGGUGCUGCAUGGUUGUCGUCAGCUCGUGCCGUGAGGUGUCAGGUUAAGUCCUAUAACGAGCGCAACCCCUAUUGUUAGUUGCCAGCGAGUAAUGUCGGGAACUCUAACAAGACUGCCGGUGCAAACCGUGAGGAAGGUGGGGAUGACGUCAAAUCAUCACGGCCCUUACGUCUUGGGCUACACACGUGCUACAAUGGCCAGUACAGAAAGCAGCUACCAGGCAACUGGAUGCGAAUCUCAAAAACUGGUCUCAGUUCGGAUUGGAGUCUGCAACUCGACUCCAUGAAGCUGGAAUCGCUAGUAAUCGGAUAUCAGCCAUGAUCCGGUGAAUACGUUCCCGGGCCUUGUACACACCGCCCGUCAAGCCAUGGAAGCCGGGGGUACCUGAAGUCGGUCGCCGCAAGGAGCUGCCUAGGGUAAAACUGGUAACUAGGGCUAAGUCGUANCAAGGUAGCCGUCCCGGAAGGUGCGGC
rnacentral:rRNA from 1 species